CAAGUAUUAAAGGUCCUGCCUGCCCAGUGAUAACACAUUCAACGGCCGCGGUAUCCUGACCGUGCAAAGGUAGCGUAAUCACUUGCCCCCUAAUUAGAGGCCCGUAUGAACGGCUAAAUGAGGGCCCACCUGUCUCUUGUGGCAAAAUAAUGAAACUGAUCUCCUAGUACAAAAGCUAGAAUAAACACAUAAGACGAGAAGACCCUGUGGAGCUUUUAAACACCGUUGCUACACCAACGUGCACUAGCGACAACUUUUAGUUGGGGCAACUACGGAGCAAACAAAACCUCCACGCUAACAACUAAUUCUUAACCCAGGCCAACAUGCCAAAACCAAAAAGACCCAGCACAGCUGACCACCGAACCAAGUUACCCCAGGGAUAACAGCGCAAUCCUCUUCUAGAGCCCCUAUCGCAAAGAGGGCUUACGACCUCGAUGUUGGAUCAGGACACCCCAGUGGCGAAGCCGCUACUAAAGGCCCGUUUGUUCAACGGUUAAU
rnacentral:rRNA from 1 species